GACGAACGCUGGCGGCGUGCCUAAUACAUGCAAGUGAACUCUGAAGGAGGAGCUUGCUCUUCUGGAUGAGUUGCGAACGGGUGAGUAACGCGUAGGUAACCUGCCUGGUAGCGGGGGAUAACUAUUGGAAACGAUAGCUAAUACCGCAUAAGAGUAGAUGUUGCAUGACAUUUGCUUAAAAGGUGCAAUUGCAUCACUACCAGAUGGACCUGCGUUGUAUUAGCUAGUUGGUGGGGUAACGGCUCACCAAGGCGACGAUACAUAGCCGACCUGAGAGGGUGAUCGGCCACACUGGGACUGAGACACGGCCCAGACUCCUACGGGAGGCAGCAGUAGGGAAUCUUCGGCAAUGGACGGAAGUCUGACCGAGCAACGCCGCGUGAGUGAAGAAGGUUUUCGGAUCGUAAAGCUCUGUUGUAAGAGAAGAACGAGUGUGAGAGUGGAAAGUUCACACUGUGACGGUAUCUUACCAGAAAGGGACGGCUAACUACGUG
rnacentral:rRNA from 1 species